AGCGGCGGACGGGUGAGUAACACGUGGGCAACCUGCCUGUAAGACUGGGAUAACUCCGGGAAACCGGGGCUAAUACCGGAUAAUACUUUUCUUCUCAUGAAGGGAAGUUGAAAGAUGGCUCCGGCUAUCACUUACAGAUGGGCCCGCGGUGCAUUAGCUAGUUGGUGAGGUAACGGCUCACCAAGGCAACGAUGCAUAGCCGACCUGAGAGGGUGAUCGGCCACACUGGGACUGAGACACGGCCCAGACUCCUACGGGAGGCAGCAGUAGGGAAUCUUCCGCAAUGGACGAAAGUCUGACGGAGCAACGCCGCGUGAACGAAGAAGGUUUUCGGAUCGUAAAGUUCUGUUGUUAGGGAAGAACAAGUACCGUUCAAAUAGGGCGGUACCUUGACGGUACCUAUCGAGGAAGCCCCGGCUAACUACGUGCCAGCAGCCGCGGUAAUACGUAGGGGGCAAGCGUUGUCCGGAAUUAUUGGGCGUAAAGCGCGCGUAGGCGGUUUCUUAAGUCUGAUGUGAAAUCUUGCGGCUCAACCGCAAGCGGUCAUUGGAAACUGGGGAACUUGAGUACAGAAGAGGAGAGCGGAAUUCCACGUGUAGCGGUGAAAUGCGUAGAUAUGUGGAGGAACACCAGUGGCGAAGGCGGCUCUCUGGUCUGUAACUGACGCUGAGGUGCGAAAGCGUGGGGAGCGAACAGGAUUAGAUACCCUGGUAGUCCACGCCGUAAACGAUGAGUGCUAGGUGUUAGGGGGUUUCCGCCCCUUAGUGCUGCAGUUAACGCAUUAAGCA
rnacentral:rRNA from 1 species